AGCRUARUCAUUAGUUUUUUAAUUGAAAGCUUGUAUGAAAGGUCGGAUGAKAAAAUGACUGUCUCUGUUUAAAUUUUUUAGAAUUUUAUUUUUAAGUAAAAAAGCUUAAAUAUUUAUAGAAGACGAGAAGACCCUAUAGAGUUUUAUAUUUUUUAAUUUAAAGUUUUUAGAAUUUUAAUUUUUAUUUUAAAAAAGUAUUUGAUUGGGGUGAUUGAAAAAUUGAAUAAACUUUUUUUAUAUAUUUACAUUAAUUUAUGAGUAUAUGAUCCUUAUUUAAAGAUUAAAAGAUUUAAUUACCUUAGGGAUAACAGCGUAAUUUUUUUUAAGAGUUCUAAUCGAAAAAAAAGAUUGCGACCUCGAUGUUGGAUUAAAAUAAAUUUUUGGUGUAGCAGCUAAAAUGAUUGGGUCUGUUCGACCCUUAAUAUUUUACAUGAUCUGAGUUCAAACCGGUGUGAGCCAGGU
rnacentral:rRNA from 1 species